CUUGUAGCAUUUUAGUUGCUUACUCUAUUUCCUAUGACAUUUCGGUGUUUCAGAUACAAAAUAACUGUUUUAUGCAACUUUUAAAGAAAACUUAAGAAAUAUGUUUUCUCCUAAAAUCUCAGAACAUUUGACAUUUUUUAGUUUUUUUUUCGCAUGGCACAACUGCCCGAAGAGAGGGACUGUCACUCGCAAAAGGACAGAUGGGUAACCCUUCUUAUCGAAAAUAUGUUCUCCAGUUUGUGACUCAUCCCCUGAACAGAGUGACUUGACAUCGCAACAAAAAUUCACUCCAUGGCUGUCUUUCAACUGUUGCUGUUUCUGUAUGAUACUAAGUUUCUCUGAUAAUCUGUAUUUCUAAGACACCUUGUUAGAAAAGUCACAGCUCCAGUAUGCUUUUAAAGUGGGCCUCCAGGGUAAUGAUUUCACUUAUUUGCAGUAAGUCUGGAAUUCUGUAGCCCAUGUUUUGACUGGAUCUAUGGAAUUGCAUCAUGUUACCCAUUGCUGUGGGAUUUGGACUAGCUGCCCAUUGUGGCUAGAUCAGUAUUUAAAAUGUUGUUAGUCACUCAAUGAUCAUAGCACAGUCUGGGUCCUAUCUACUUUAAAGAGCUUGUUAUGCCCUGUGUCCCUAGUUGUUGACUUAUAUAGUCAUGUUUGGGGCUCCUAUUUAUUCCCGGAACCACACAUAAACUUUGGGCAGAUGUGUUUUUAUCCUUUUAGCUAUACUUUUGUGUAGUCAGCUACUUACCCUGAUUAGGGCAAGUGAGACCAAAGCCUCUUUCAGGAUAUCCUUUUGCUGCUGCCUGCUUAGGAGUUUUCUUGACUGCCUGAAUAAAUAUGCAUACAGCAACAUGUGUUACUCUGUGAAAAUCUCCAUCAUGUUUUAAAUCUGUGUUGUUAUGGAUGAUUUUUUAUGUGUAUGUUGUUUGUUUUGAUUUAUGCAUUUAUCCAUUUUAUUGUAUAUAGCAUGUAGAUUUUUUUUUUUUUGGGGGGGUUCCGACCACAUCUGUCUUCUAUCAAAGCUGUCCCAGAACCCCACCUUGAGCUUCUCCAUUAACAUCCCCAACCCAUUUGUGUCUCUUCCUUCAGAGACUGGCUAUCCCAUUAAACACAGAAUCCUUUAUAUGAAAGUAAGCAGGUAGCAAAUAUCAUGAUACAGCACCAUCUUGACAGAUGCAUAAAAUGUUUAGAUGUUUAAACAGUUUCAGCAAAGAAGUGAAAUAAAAAGCAUGUGAUGUUUGUGCUUCUGAAA